GGAUCGGUCACCUCAGGGGAACAGUGGGUCACAGGGGCAUCUGGUUGUCAUUUCCUCUCUGGUCAGCAUGAGAGAAGCAAGGAGGAAAAAAAAAAAAGUACAUUUUAUUUAUCUCAUGUCUUGUUCUGCAGCAUCAAAAGGUCCAACAGCAUCCAGUCAGAGCAGGAGAGGCUCACACGAUGUGAUGAAGUCCAGGAUUUGGGACUGAGAACUGUGUGGUUGAUUUGCUUAGCUUUGAGGGUACUGAGCAUCACAGUAGCUAAGGAAUCAUGAACAAGCCUGUGCAAGAGAGAGGAAUUUAAAAAUGAGCUUUCUUAGGCAAGAAGCUGCCCUGGCCUGAAGCCUAAGACCCAGCCUUCCACCUCCUUCAUCAGCCCAUCAUUAUGGGCUCUGUUUUUGUCACAUAUGUCAUUUUCCAAAGUGUGCUGUAUAUGAUACAUUUGUCUGAAGAAUCCUAUGAUUACCAGUCUGCUUGAUUUUUGAAAUGUUUGCUAUUUUUCUUUAUAGCUUGUUCUAACUAUGAUGAAACACCAGUACAUCAAAACUGGAAGUCAUAUGCAGUUACUAGUAAAUGCCUAUCAAAUGGCUCUAAA